rnacentral:rRNA from 1 species
AGAGUUUGAUCCUGGCUCAGGAUGAACGCUGGCGGCGUGCCUAAUACAUGCAAGUCGAGCGAACAGACGAUGAGCUUGCUUCUCUGACGUUAGCGGCGGACGGGUGAGUAACACGUGGAUAACCUACCUAUAAGACUGGGAUAACUUCGGGAAACCGGAGCUAAUACCGGAUAAUAUAUUGAACCGCAUGGUUCAAUAGUGAAAGACGGUUUUGCUGUCACUUAUAGAUGGAUCCGCGCCGCAUUAGCUAGUUGGUAAGGUAACGGCUUACCAAGGCAACGAUGCGUAGCCGACCUGAGAGGGUGAUCGGCCACACUGGAACUGAAACACGGUCCAGACUCCUACGGGAGGCAGCAGUAGGGAAUCUUCCGCAAUGGGCGAAAGCCUGACGGAGCAACGCCGCGUGAGUGAUGAAGGUCUUCGGAUCUUAAAACUCUGUUAUUAGGGAGGAACAAAUGUGUAAGUAACUAUGCACGUCUUGACGGUACCUAAUCAGAAAGCCACGGCUAACUACGUGCCAGCAGCCGCGGUAAUACGUAGGUGGCAAGCGUUAUCCGGAAUUAUUGGGCGUAAAGCGCGCGUAGGCGGUUUUUUAAGUCUGAUGUGAAAGCCCACGGCUCAACCGUGGAGGGUCAUUGGAAACUGGAAGACUUGAGUGCAGAAGAGGAAAGUGGAAUUCCAUGUGUAGCGGUGAAAUGCGCAGAGAUAUGGAGGAACACCAGUGCCGAAAGCGACUUUCUGGUCUGUUACUGACGCUGAUGUGCGAAAGCGUGGGAUCAAACAGGAUUAGAUACCCUGGUAGUCCACGCCGUAAACGAUGAGUGCUAAGUGUUAGGGGUUUUCCGCUCCUUAGUGCUGCAGCUAACGCAUUAAGCACUCCGCUUGGGAGUACGACGCAGGUUGAAACUUCAAG